rnacentral:rRNA from 1 species
AAGUGCCUCGCAAGAGGAAUUCGGAGACAGGUGCUGCAUGGCUGUCGUCAGCUCGUGUCGUGAGAUGUUGGGUUAAGUCCCGCAACGAGCGCAACCCUUGUCAUUAGUUGCUACAUUCAGUUGGGCACUCUAAUGAGACUGCCGGUGACAAGCCGGAGGAAGUGGGGAUGACGUCAAGUCCUCAUGGCCCUUAUAGGUGGGGCUACACACGUCAUACAAUGGCUGGUACAAAGGGUUGCCAACCCGCGAGGGGGAGCCAAUCCCAUAAAGCCAGUCGUAGUCCGGAUCGUAGUCUGCAACUCGACUACGUGAAGUCGGAAUCGCUAGUAAUCGUGGAUCAGAAUGUCACGGUGAAUACGUUCCCGGGUCUU